UACGUAGGGGGCAAGCGUUGUCCGGAAUCAUUGGGCGUAAAGAGCGUGUAGGCGGCUCGGUAAGUCCGCUGUGAAAGUCCAGGGCUCAACCCUGGAAUGCCGGUGGAAACUGUCGAGCUAGAGUCCGGAAGAGGCGAGUGGAAUUCCUGGUGUAGCGGUGAAAUGCGCAGAUAUCAGGAGGAACACCAAUGGCGAAGGCAGCUCGCUGGGACGGUACUGACGCUGAGACGCGAAAGCGUGGGAGCAAACAGG
rnacentral:rRNA from 1 species